rnacentral:rRNA from 1 species
UACGUAGGGGGCAAGCGUUGUCCGGAUUUAUUGGGCGUAAAGAGCGUGUAGGCGGCUUAGUAGGUCCGCUGUGAAAACUCGAGGCUCAACCUCGAGAUGUCGGCGGAAACCACUUGGCUAGAGUCCGGAAGAGGAGAGUGGGAAUUCCUGGUGGUAGCGGUGAAAUGCGCAGAUAUCAGGAAGAACACCUAUGGCGAAGGCAGCUCUCUGGGACGGUACUGACGCUGAGACGCGAAAGCGUGGGGAGCGAACAGG